AUUGAACGCUGGCGGCAGGCCUAACACAUGCAAGUCGAACGAGUGGCGGACGGGUGAGUAAUGUCUGGGAAACUGCCUGAUGGAGGGGGCUAACUACUGGAAACGGUAGCUAAUACCGCAUACCAUCAGAUGUGCCCAGAUGGGAUUAGCUGGUUGGUGGGGUAACGGCUCACCUAGGCGACGAUCCCUAGCUGGUCUGAGAGGAUUACCGGCCACCCGGGAACGGGUACACGGUCCAGACUCCUACGGAGGGAGGCAGUGGGGAAUAUUCCACAAUGGGGGCAAGCCUGAUACAGCCAUGCGGGGUGUAUGAAGAAGGCUUUCGGGUUGUAAAGUACUUUCGGCAGGGAGGCGUUACCCGCAGAGAAAGCACCGGCUAACUCCGUGCCAGCAGCCGCGGUAAUAC
rnacentral:rRNA from 1 species